rnacentral:rRNA from 1 species
GCGGGGAGGAAGGUGUUGUCGUUAAUAACCUCAGCAAUUGACGUUAACACCAGAAGAAGCAUCGGCUAAUUCCGUGGCAGCAGUAGCGGUAAUACGGAGGGUGCAAGCGUUAAUCGGAAUUACUGGGCGUAAACCGCACGCAGGCGGUCUGUCAAGUUGGAUGUGAAAUCCCCGGGCUCAACCUGGGAACUGCAUUCGAAACUGGCAGGCUGGAGUCUUGUAGAGGGGGGUAGAAUUCCAGGUGUAGCGGUGAAAUGCGUAGAGAUCUGGAGGAAUACCGGUGGCGAAGGCGGCCCCCUGGACAAAGACUGACGCUCAGGUGCGAAAGCGUGGGGAGCAAACAGGAUUAGAUACCCUGGUAGUCCACGCCGUAAACGAUGUCGAUUUGGAGGUUGUGCCCUUGAGGCGUGGCUUCCGGAGCUAACGCGUUAAAUCGACCGCCUGGGGAGUACGGCCGCAAGGUUAAAACUCAAAUGAAUUGACGGGGGCCCGCACAAGCGGUGGAGCAUGUGGUUUAAUUCGAUGCAACGCGAAGAACCUUACCUGGUCUUGACAUCCACAGAACUUUCCAGAGAUGGAUUGGUGCCUUCGGGAACUGUGAGACAGGUGCUGCAUGGCUGUCGUCAGCUCGUGUUGUGAAAUGUUGGGUUAAGUCCCGCAACGAGCGCAACCCUUAUCCUUUGUUGCCAGCGGUCCGGCCGGGAACUCAAAGGAGACUGCCAGUGAUAAACUGGAGGAAGGUGGGGAUGACGUCAAGUCAUCAUGGCCCUUACGACCAGGGCUACACACGUGCUACAAUGGCGCAUACAAAGAGAAGCGACCUCGCGAGAGCAAGCGGACCUCAUAAAGUGCGUCGUAGUCCGGAUUGGAGUCUGCAACUCGACUCCAUGAAGUCGGAAUCGCUAGUAAUCGUAGAUCAGAAUGAUUCGGUGAAUACGUUCCCGUAGCCUUGGAUCCUGCCUCCGUAACUCCUAACAAGGUAGCCGUAGAGUUUGAUC